rnacentral:rRNA from 1 species
GUCCAUGCCGUAAACGUUGGGAACUAGAUGUAGGGACCAUUCCACGGUUUCUGUGUCGCAGCUAACGCAUUAAGUUCCCCGCCUGGGGAGUACGGCCGCAAGGCUAAAACUCAAAGGAAUUGACGGGGGCCCGCACAAGCGGCGGAGCAUGCGGAUUAAUUCGAUGCAACGCGAAGAACCUUACCAAGGCUUGACAUAUACCGGAAAAGUUCAGAAAUGUUCUCCCCGCAAGGUCGGUAUACAGGUGGUGCAUGGUU